rnacentral:rRNA from 1 species
AUUGAACGCUGGCGGCAGGCUUAACACAUGCAAGUCGAACGAGUGGCGGACGGGUGAGUAAUGCUUGGGAAUCUAGCUUAUGGAGGGGGAUAACUACGGGAAACUGUAGCUAAUACCGCGUACCAUAGUAUGAGCCCAUGUGGGAUUGGUUAGUUGGUGAGGUAAAGGCUCACAAGGACGACGAUCGCUAGCGGGUCUGAGAGGAUGACCGGCCACACGGGGACGGAGACACGGCCCAGACUCCUACGGGAGGGAGCAGUGGGGAAUUGUGCGCAAUGGGGGCAACCUGACGCAGCCAUGCCGCGUGAAUGAAGAAGGCCUUCGGGUUGUAAAGUUCUUUCGGUAGCGAGGCGGUAACUACAGAAGAAGCACCGGCUAACUCCGUGCCAGCAGCCGCGGUAAUAC